UCCGUAGGUGAACCUGCGGAAGGAUCAUUAAUGAAAAUGCUAUUUUCAUUGGCCUAUCAAUACCCCUUUGUUUACCUACCAUGUUGCUUCCACUGGACUGUCAAUCUUGCAAGAGAAAGACCUCUGGCUUGUUUUUAACGAAAUCAGCUGGGGAGUGCCGGUGGAUAGCCAAAAUCAAAACCUAAAAGCGAAAUCUACCUUAUAGUCUGAAUUAUUAUAAUUAUUUAUAAAACUUUCAACAACGGAUCUCUAGGCUCUUGCAUCGAUGAAGAACGCAGUGAAAUGCGAUACGUAAUGUGAAUUGCAGAAUCUCGUGAAUCAUUGAAUCUUUGAACGCACAUUGCGCCUUAUGGUAUUCCAUAAGGCAUGCCUGUCUGAGCGUCAGCUCCCUCCCUCUCAAGCUCUUUUGCUUGGAAUUCUUUGGAAAAGCAGCCCCCUCCGGGACUGCCUUCCAUAAAGACAUAGGCAGUAUGGUGGUUUCCAGGCUGAACGUAAUAAUUGAAAAAGUCACGUUUUCUUUGGAGCUCUCGUGCUUGCCCUUAACCACUCAUUAUUUUUUUGGGGACUCCGAUCAAGUAGGGAUACCCCCUGAAUUAAGCAUAUCAAUAAGCGGAGGA
rnacentral:rRNA from 1 species